UUGACUACUGAGUGCCAGCACCCGCGGGUGGGGCAGAUGAUUGGGGUGAAGUCGUAACAAGGUAACCUCAGUCAGUCAAGUCGUAACAAGGUAACCUCAGUCAGUCAAGUCGUAACAAGGUAACCUCAGUCAGUCAAGUCGUAACAAGGUAACCUCAGUCAGUCAAGUCGUAACAAGGUAACCUCAGUCAGUCAAGUCGUAACAAGGUAGCCUCAGUCAGUCAAGUCGUAACAAGGUAACCUCAGUCAGUCAAGUCGUACCAAGCGUAACCUCAGUCAGUCAGAGUCGUCACAAGGUACCUCAGUCAGUCAAGUCGUAGACAAGGUAGCCUCAGUCAGUCAAGUCGUCACGAACCUCAGUCAGUCGAAUGCCGCGGACGCAUGGCGCCCGGGAGCA
rnacentral:rRNA from 1 species